rnacentral:rRNA from 1 species
UACGAAGGGGGCUAGCGUUGCUCGGAAUCACUGGGCGUAAAGGGUGCGUAGGCGGUGGCGUAAGUCAGUUGUGAAAUUCCCCGGCUUAACCGGCGGGACUGCGAUUGAUACUGCGUUACUUGAAUCAGGUUGAGGUAGGCGGAAUGUGACAUGUAGCGGUGAAAUGCUUAGAUAUGUCAUAGAACACCGAUUGCGAAGGCAGCUUGCUGGACCUGUAUUGACGCUGAGGCACGAAAGCGUGGGGAGCAAACAGG